CAUUACAAGGUGUGAUAUGAAAUUGUGCCAAAACUUCAGCGAUGCAGUGAACAAUAUGGGCUGGGAGCAGUGACAGCUGAUUGGAUGUGGGCGUUCCAAUGUGGUGCAGAAAGGUGUGUGACGCCAAACAAGACGAAGGCAAAUGUUCAGUUGCCAUGGCCACGAGGAAAUGAACCCACAUAAAAUGUGUUUGUUUUUGAAGCGGGAACACUCGUGGUAAUAGCUGUGUAUCCUUUAUCUGUAAAAUCUUAAGUACUGUGCAAAAGUGUGGAGUCAUCCCUCAUUUCUUCAUGUUCAAAGAGCAAAUAUAUUUCAGAGCUACAAAAUUCUUCUACCUGGAAUUAAAUAUGAAUAAACCCUG